rnacentral:rRNA from 1 species
AAUAGUUUCUUUGGUGGUGACCUACUACAUGGAUAACCGUAGUAAUUCUAGAGCUAAUACAUGCGUAAAUCUCGACUCACGAAGAGACGUAUUUAUUAGAUAAAGACCGACCUCGUUCUNCGGUGAAUCAUAAUAACUUCACGGACCGCAUGGCUUUAUGCCGGCGGUGUUCCAUUCAAAUUUCUGCCCUAUCAACUUUCGACGGUAGGAUGGAGGCCUACCGUGGUGUUCACGGGUGACGGGGAAUUAGGGUUCGAUUCCGGAGAGGGAGCCUGAGAAACGGCUACCACA